GGGGUUGUGGCUCAGAGGCAGAGCACUUGCCUGGCAUGCAUGAGGCAAUGGGUUCAAUCCUCAGUACCA
rnacentral:tRNA from 1 species